CCCGUCACCCCGGACUUGAUCCGGGGUCCAUGGUGCAGCGGGUGCUGGCGCAUGAAGCUCUCGCGCUGGCGCUCGCCGAGAUAUGGACCCCGGAUCAAGUCCGGGGUGACGGG
rnacentral:miRNA from 1 species